rnacentral:rRNA from 1 species
CGUGCCUAUACAUGCAAGUCGAGCGAAUGGAUUGAGAGCUUGCUCUCAAGAAGUUAGCGGCGGACGGGUGAGUAACACGGGGGUAACCUGCCCAUAAGACUGGGAUAACUCCGGGAAACCGGGGCUAAUACCGGAUAAUAUUUUGAACUGCAUGGUUCGAAAUUGAAAGGCGGCUUCGGCUGUCACUUAUGGAUGGACCCGCGUCGCAUAGCUAGUUGGUGAGGUAACGGCUCACCAAGGCAACGAUGCGUAGCCGACCUGAGAGGGUGAUCGGCCACACUGGGACUGAGACACGGCCCAGACUCCUACGGGAGGCAGCAGUAGGGAAUCUUCCGCAAUGGACGAAAGUCUGACGGAGCAACGCCGCGUGAGUGAUGAAGGCUUUCGGGUCGUAAAACUCUGUUGUUAGGGAAGAACAAGUGCUAGUUGAAUAAGCUGGCACCUUGACGGUACCUAACCAGAAAGCCACGGCUAACUACGUGCCAGCAGCCGCGGUAAUACGUAGGUGGCAAGCGUUAUCCGGAAUUAUUGGGCGUAAAGCGCGCGCAGGUGGUUUCUUAAGUCUGAUGUGAAAGCCCACGGCUCAACCGUGGAGGGUCAUUGGAAACUGGGAGACUUGAGUGCAGAAGAGGAAAGUGGAAUUCCAUGUGUAGCGGUGAAAUGCGUAGAGAUAUGGAGGAACACCAGUGGCGAAAGCGACUUUCUGGUCUGUAACUGACACUGAGGCGCGAAAGCGUGGGGAGCAAACAGGAUUAGAUUACCCUGGUAGUCCACGCCGUAAACGAUGAGUGCUAAGUGUUAGAGGGUUUCCGCCCUUUAGUGCUGAAGUAACGCAUAAGCACUCCGCCU